GGCAUUGGCGCAUCUGGGAACCGACGUCCGUGCGCGGCUGGCUAGAAUGCUGGACUCGCCUCCGCAGCGCUGGCCUGCAGGGAUUAGAAGACAUGUGGGGUCAAGGAACAGGAAGCUGACCUGGAUGGAAGUUGAACAGUGAUCUUUGCUCUCUGCCUGGCUCCUGAGUCCUCUGCCAUGUUCCUGGAGAAGAGGAGCCAGCCAGGCCCUCAUCUCACUCUCCCAGAGCCCCAGAGCACACCAAUGGACACCAUCACCUCUCGGGCAGAUCAGCACAGAGACGUGAAGCACACAGGCAGCUGCUGGAAAAAUAACAAGGAAUUGCAAUGGUGUGCCCCUCCGUUGAAUGCAAGCUCUCUUCUGCCUUCUCACCUUGGGCAAGUUACCUUCCGUUCCAGGCCUCGGUUUCUCCAUGUGUGAAAUGAAAGGGCUGGAGAGAAAUCUCUCACUAUUCCCCAAUCUACAUUCAUUGUAUCCCAAACCUUCUAAUAUCUGUUCAACGAAGUGUACCAAAUCUCAGCUAUUGGACUGAGACUCAGGGGUCUAUCUGACUUGAAUUGAAAAUGCAAAUUACUGAAGAGGGAGGGAGGGAGGAGUGCUGAAGAUUGAAUGGAUUUAUCAGAUUUCCUUCUCCUAUGGCCCAGAUGCAGGCCUAGUCCAGGCGAUUCCCCUGGCUCAGAAUCUGCCAGGCUCAAGCAUUCAUUGACAGCCUACUAUGUACCAAUCCUGGGCUGAGUCCCAACCCGGGGAUGACUUAGAGGAGGCCAGGAUGUGGCCUCAUGUUCUGGUUGCUCUCACAUUUAAACAGGCUAAACCCACUUUGCAUUGUAUGUUAGGGGUGGUGCUUGUGGGACAAAGGGGGCUGUCAGAACAUUCUGGCUGCCACAUGAAGUUGACUUUGCCAGGACAGACUGGGUUGUGGGGGAAGGCAGCUACUGUAAUAAUUUGGCCAAGAAGUGGGCUGAGCAGGAGCAGGGCUGAGGGAGGGAGAGAGGGAAUGAGUAAGAAAGGCCCAGGGUACUGAUUUGACUGGGACUUCAGGGACAGGUGUGGGGCGAGAGGGAUGCUGGAAGUGAAGGAGGGAAAGUGCAGAGGCUUUCUGGGGAUUAAUAGGCAAUGAUCUCUAUGAGGGCGUGGUGAGUAGGCCCCAAACAUCCGGGGACUUCCCUGCCUGCCAUCCCUCUGUCUCUCUCUUCCUUUCCUACUGCCCAGGGCCUGGCCCUGCUGCACAUGCCCUGCCCUGGCCCCCAGAGUCCCCUUCUUUCCUGGCUGGGAGAUUAAGACUCUGCUGUGCCUACAGCAUUCUCAACCUCAAGUCAAGGUGGCCCUUUGGAGCCCAGGAGGCCACAUGGCUGAGUCAGGGCUGAGUCACCACCCCCCAAGGGCCUUGCCAUUUCCUGUGGAGAAGCCUCUUUACUGGCAGGGUUCUGUGCUCAGGUGGGAAAUCUGGAGAGGUCGGGGGCAGGGCUUCAUCUACUUUUACCCACUAACUCCCUAGACACUCCACUGGGGGUAGAGGGUUCCUACACGUAUGAUGAUCAAAACAUGUGUCUGUGCACAUGGGCCCUUAUGCAUUCACAGGUGUUUGCCUAUGCGACUGCAUGUCUGAAUGUUUUAUGUAUAUUUGAAUAUAGAUAGGGAACAAAUAUUUAUGGAGCACAUAUUAUGUGUGCAGCCUUUUACGUGUGUUACUUUCUAAUAACCCUAGGAGGCGUAGAUGCCUCCCAGGCUAUGGUUGAAAAUACUGACAUGCCCAAGGUGCAGGAGGUAUGAAUACCUCCCCACUGUGGCUGGUAACACCCCAGGUUUCUCCAACUCCACAGUGAUGGGCUUUCCUCCAGAGCCGGUUCCUCAGGGGCAGGAGUGAGAAGUGUGUGUGUCUGUAUUUAUCCUUCCACCAGUGGCUGUGAUUGGUCCUGUGGUUGGAAACAGGGUCAAGUAAGGCCCUUGGGAGUAGCUGGGUGAAUGGACGAUGGUGGCGUCCACCUUGGACAUGGCACAUACUUCUGGUCGGGUAUCCACGUGGCUGGCCAACCCGGACCUGCCCUAUUAGGGGCCAUCGCCCUCAUGGCUCAUCAGUGCUGAGUUUCAUUGCCUUCUUCGUAAUGCAAUACUAAUGGAUACAGGCAUGUAUCUGCCGUACACUAGAUGAAAUGUGGUUAUUUGCUCAGGUAGAAAUAAAGACUAAAAUACC
rnacentral:lncRNA from 1 species